rnacentral:rRNA from 1 species
AGAGCGAACGCUGGCGGCAGGCCUAACACGUGCAAGUCGAACGAACUCUUCGGAGUUAGUGGCGGACGGGUGAGUAACACGUGGGAACGUGCCUUUAGGUUCGGAAUAACUCAGGGAAACUUGUGCUAAUACCGAAUGUGCCCUUCGGGGGAAAGAUUUAUCGCCUUUAGAGCGGCCCGCGUCUGAUUAGCUUGUUGGUGGGGUAAUGGCCCACAAGGCUACGAUCAGUAGCUGGUCUGAGAGGAUGACCAGCCACAUUGGGACUGAGACACGGCCCAAACUCCUACGGGAGGCAGCAGUGGGGAAUCUUGCGCAAUGGGCGAAGGCCUGACGCAGCCAUGCCGCGUGUAUGAUGAAGGUCUUAGGAUUGUAAAAUACUUUCACCGGUGAAGAUAAUGACUGUAGCCGGAGAAGAAGCCCGGCUAACUUCGUGCCAGCAGCCGCGA